AUGCUGAAAAACGUUAAACAAAAAAUUAUUAAUUAUAAGGAACUAGCAAAACAAUUAGAGGCAUGUGUGGAAAAUGAUUCAACAGAUAUUGAAGUGAUGCGAGAUAUAUAUACAAAAUGUAAAAAGGAUUUAGUGACACUGGAAAAAUUAACACAAGUAGCUUUUGAAGAUGGGAAUGCAUCCUUGUUCGAACAAUUAGUACAGGUCUCUACACAAAUUAGUAAGGCAAUUCGAAUGUUUGAAGCUUUAGAAAAAGACAAGAAAAUGAAUAAAUAUCAAACCUCUGAAAAAAAGGAUGAAACAAACGCAUAUAUAGUAACAAA
rnacentral:lncRNA from 1 species